rnacentral:tRNA from 1 species
GAGGCCUUGGCUUAAAUGAUAGCGCCUGCUUUGCGAGCGGGAGAUGCGGGUGAGCCGCAGGUCUUC